AGUACAGAACGAACAUUAAUUUCUCUGUCGUCUUCUUGGAGUUACGUGAGUAGGAAGAGCCUGUGACAUUAUAUUGUACGCUUGCGUAGCAUUCUUUUGUCAAGAUUGUGAGAGGGACGCCAUUAGACAUAGCUUGGGAAAGUGUGACUGUCUUAUACUGGAAAUGGACUGUGGAACAACAAAUUAUACAUGGAGAAUUUGGAAAAGCACAGAAUGCAAUGUGAUAUUUUACUACAGUUUGCAGUCGAAUAUUUCGUGCAGUAAGUGCGAAGGGAAACUGGAUCCAUACGAUACGGUAUAGUUCUGGACGAUUGCAAGCAGUGAUGGAUAUCCGAGAUCUCGCGCCUGCGCCUUUUGGUUGGCAACUCAGCUGACGUCUGCACCCCACGCUACCUUUGGUUGCCUAUACGUAGGCGUUCCCUGUCCAACCCGGAUCCAAAGGCUGAAAUUGUCUAAGUACGCUCAAUUAUGGUAACAGGUAUUACUGCUUUAUUCUACGCCCUCAUGCUUCAGAUGUUUAUUG